UCUCAUUGAGUCUAGAACUUCGAAUCUCUUGUCCCUUAUAUUCAUAUUGAGUAACCAAUAGCGGCCAUCCUUGCUUUCUGAAUCAAAUGUUUCAAGCAUUGGGAACAUUACCUACAGAAAAAAAAAGCAAAAACAAAUUAGGCAAUUACUCUCUGAGAAGAAACUUAGGCUGCAGGCAAGUUUGGCUUAGUUAGCAACUCAGGGGAUGAAAAAUGAUUUUGACAGUUAACAAAGCAAGUUUUUUGGCCCGCUCCAGCAACUACUAAUGCAUGGACUUUGGAGAAAAAAAGGACAUGAAAAUGGGGCAUUGAAAAACGCAAUUCCUCACCAUCCAGCCGAUCAAGGUGCAUUGUUCCCCUGUCUAAUCUUUUCUUUAAAUCACAGCUGGUCAGGUCUGAACGCUGCAACCAGGUCUGCGUUUUUUGUUUGACAGAGCAGAGAAACAAGUUUUUUAGUCCUUUUUAGUUGCAUGGUUUGCUGUCUCUGAAAAAACUAAAACAAAAAGAAAAGCAAGAAAGAUGCUUAUGG
rnacentral:lncRNA from 1 species